rnacentral:sRNA from 12 species
UACACCGCUGGCGGUUGAAAUACCGCUGAAAGUGAAAAUACAGCCGCAAAAGGUGCAGUAUGGUAGCCGGGGCGAAACCCUUAGUUGUAUAGCGUGGCGAAUUACUGCAAGGCGAUAAGA